CCUGUGAUUGUCUUGUCUUUUCAUAAAAGUUAUGUCAAUAAUGAGACAAAUGGGAGGGAAAAGGGUAAUGGUGGGAUGGGAAAAAGGAAAGAAUAGGAGAUAUCAACUAAAUGAUCCAGAUAAUUCAAUCAUUAAAUUAAUUCAAACAAAAAACCCAAAUCCAAAAUCAAACCUUAAGCGAUGAAGGUCGACAUAGUGGUGGUGUUGCGCAGUGGGUAGCAGUGGAGAUGGGAUCGUACAGAGUGUGGGUGUCGCACGGGGAGGUGACGGUGAAGUUAAAUGGCGUGGUGGUGGAGCGUUGUGGAGGUGGCUUCUGUUGAGCACAGGGAGAACCACAGGGAGAGUGAUUUGAGAACGACAGUGAUGAGAAUAGAAAGAAAAUUUUAUUUUUGUCUCAAAAUAG
rnacentral:lncRNA from 1 species